AGUGAACGCUGGCGGUAGGCCUAACACAUGCAAGUCGAACGGCAGCACAGUAAGAGCUUGCUCUUACGGGUGGCGAGUGGCGGACGGGUGAGGAAUACAUCGGAAUCUACUUUUUCGUGGGGGAUAACGUAGGGAAACUUACGCUAAUACCGCAUACGACCUACGGGUGAAAGCAGGGGAUCUUCGGACCUUGCGCGAUCGAAUGAGCCGAUGUCGGAUUAGCUAGUUGGCGGGGUAAAGGCCCACCAAGGCGACGAUCCGUAGCUGGUCUGAGAGGAUGAUCAGCCACACUGGAACUGAGACACGGUCCAGACUCCUACGGGAGGCAGCAGUGGGGAAUAUUGGACAAUGGGCGCAAGCCUGAUCCAGCCAUACCGCGUGGGUGAAGAAGGUCUUCGGGUUGUAAAGCCCUUUUGUUGGGAAAGAAAAGCAGCAGGUUAAUACCCCGCUGUUCUGACGGUACCCAAAGAAUAAGCACCGGCUAACUUCGUG
rnacentral:rRNA from 1 species